UAGUGGGAUUAUAGGUGUGAUGAGAAAAUUAUCUAUAAGCACACUAUAACGAUGUCGAGAAGCAUUUAAUCCUAUAGGAAUCCACGACAGAGGUGUACAAAAUGUAGCAUCUGGAAUUGUUUAUAGAAGGCAUGAUACUCAGCUUCUCGAUUGUUCUAUAAAGGACGCCAAAGAACGGGUUGUAACUUUACCUUUUCAAGUACAAUAUUGAAAUAGCUACAUUUUGAUUCAUGAAAACAAAUUAAAAAAAUAAAUACUUUCAUAAAAAUAUACAUGUAAAAGUCUACGUGUUUUUAAUAAUCGCUACAUGUUUUUCAAUUGACUGCGAACAUCGAGCAUUUUUAGUGGGUUUGUUCUUUUGCAUGACCGCAAUCUCUGGAUUCUUCUGUCCCGAUUGUUCUACUCCCAAGAGAGCUUUAACAGCACCAUUUUCCUCAGCUACUUAAUGCGUUGUUUGUACUUGAGGAAAUCUUGAACUGUUUUUGCCGAGCGACCAGUUGCAUUGGUUUUCAAUUCGUAAUAAAUACCAGACGGUUCUGUCUGAUACAGAUGUGGGGUUCCGUCGGAGUCAAAACCCAUAAUCUGGGCAGGUACUUAUCAACAUUCAACAAAAUGUCCAACAACAUGCACGACAUUCGGCGAACAAGAAAAUCUUCCAAAAUUUACUCAACAAGUUACAACACGUUUGAAAUAUCUUGGCAACUUAAGCAUUAAAAGCAAAAAAAAAACGUAAAAUCAAAGGAAUGCAAGAGAGAAAUUCCAUAUGCCGAACACCUCCAAGAGCUGUGAGAAGAACUGGCCAAGGACCCAAUUUGUUUUGGGUGCUACGAAGAGAAUGUAUCUUGAUCUAUACUAGAAUUUCUCUUUAAUACUUGUUUAUAAUCUCGGUUAGACUGAAAAUAAAGAUCAAUUCGAUUUAAAAGCAGCUUCCAAAAGGGUCGACAAAGAAGGCAAAUAUUGAAAAGAACUUCCCAUGAUGAUUAAUUG